GUUUGAUCCUGGCUCAGGACGAACGCUGGCGGCAUGCCUCACACAUGCAAGUCGAACGAUCCGACACUCAACCUAGUUGAGUGUCUGGAUAGUGGCGGACGGGUGCGUAACACGUGGGCAACCUGCCCUUUAGAUCGGGAUACCAUCGGGAAACUGAUGUUAAUACCGGAUACCUUCUUUUUGUCACCUGAUAAAAAGAAGAAAGAUUUAUCGCUAAAGGAUGGGCCCGCGCUUCAUUAGCUAGUUGGUAGGGUAACGGCCUACCAAGGCAACGAUGGAUAGCUGGUCUGAGAGGACGAUCAGCCACACUGGGACUGAGACACGGCCCAGACUCCUACGGGAGGCAGCAGUGGGGGAUAUUGCGCAAUGGGGGCAACCCUGACGCAGCAAUGCCGCGUGAAGGAUGAAGGUUUUCGGAUCGUAAACUUCUGUUAUGAGGGAUGAAUAAAAUGACAGUACCUCAAGAGGAAGCCCCGGCUAACUACGUGCCAGCAGCCGCGGUAAUACGUAGGGGGCGAGCGUUGUCCGGAAUUACUGGGCGUAAAGAGCAUGUAGGUGGUUUGAUAAGUCAGAUGUUAAACUGCGGGGCUCAACCCCGUAUUGCAUUUGAAACUGUCAAACUUGAGGACAGGAGAGGAAAGUGGAAUUCCUAGUGUAGCGGUGAAAUGCGUAGAUAUUAGGAGGAACACCAGUGGCGAAGGCGACUUUCUGGACUGUACCUGACACUGAGAUGCGAAAGCGUGGGGAGCGAACAGGAUUAGAUACCCUGGUAGUCCACGCCGUAAACGCUGGGCACUAGGUGUAGGGGGUUUAGAUACCCUCUGUGCCGCAGUUAACGCACUAAGUGCCCCGCCUGGGGAGUACGACCGCAAGGUUGAAACUCAAAGGAAUUGACGGGGGCCCGCACAAGCAGCGGAGCAUGUGGUUUAAUUCGACGCAACGCGAAGAACCUUACCAGGGCUUGACAUCCUCUGAAGGCUUUAGAGAUAGAGUCGUCCUCUUUUGAGGCAGAGAGACAGGUGGUGCAUGGUUGUCGUCAGCUCGUGUCGUGAGAUGUUGGGUUAAGUCCCGUAACGAGCGCAACCCUUAUUCUUAGUUGCCAGCAGGUUAAGCUGGGCACUCUAAGGAGACUGCCGGUGAUAAACCGGGGGAAGGUGGGGAUGACGUCAAAUCAUCAUGCCCCUUAUGUCCUGGGCUACACACGUGCUACAAUGGCCUGAACAACGGGAAGCGAAGGAGCGAUCUGGAGCGAAUCCUUUAAAUCAGGUCUCAGUUCGGAUUGCAGGCUGCAACUCGCCUGCAUGAAGUCGGAGUUGCUAGUAAUCGCGAGUCAGCAUAUCGCGGUGAAUGCGUUCCCGGGCCUUGUACACACCGCCCGUCACACCACGAAAGUUUGCAACACCCGAAGCCGGUGAGCCAACCUUUUAGGAGGCAACCGUCGAAGGUGGGGCGAAUGAUUGGGGUGAAGUCGUAACAAGGUAACCGUAA
rnacentral:rRNA from 1 species